rnacentral:rRNA from 1 species
AUACGGAGGAUGCGAGCGUUAUCCGGAUUCAUUGGGUUUAAAGGGUGCGUAGGCGGACUUAUAAGUCAGUGGUGAAAACCUGCAGCUUAACUGUAGACGUGCCAUUGAUACUGUUAGUCUUGAGUAUGGUCAAGGUAGGCGGAAUGUGUAAUGUAGCGGUGAAAUGCUUAGAUAUUACACAGGACACCGAUUGCGAAGGCAGCUUACUGGGCCAUUACUGACGCUGAUGCACGAAAGCGUGGGGAGCGAACAGGAUUAGAUACCCUGGUAGUCCACGCCGUAAACGAUGAUCACUCGCUGUUAGCGAUACACAGUUAGCGGCUAAGCAAAAGCAUUAAGUGAUCCACCUGGGGAGUACGGCCGCAAGGCUGAAACUCAAAUGAAUUGACGGGG